CAUUUUCGAGCGGUUAUGGACACCAUGUCGACCGUGCGACGAAAAGUGCUACAAAACUGCUGGAAUCUGACCUCGUCUUGCCCCCCGCAGCCAUCAAUGUCUAUAGUUUCAGCUAUAAUUCUACAAGAUAACUUGAACAGAGGGAAAUGGCAUCACGGCACCUUUGCUUUUUCUCUUUCUCGCUAAACUGUCAUUCAAGAUACGAAAGCGAGUGCUACAUGUAAAAACAAAACAUUGAAACAGUGUUUGAGUGGUAACAACAGCACAAACUGUUGCGGCACAAAUUUCAUGCACCAAAUCCAUUCUGGAGGACAUGCAGCUGAAACACCAGCGAUUGAAUAAUUUAUUAGGGGGGAUGUCAAUAAGAUGAAACGAUUAGUAACGAUAUAUUACGACUAAGCUGAGGAGGAUGAACAGAAUGCUGUUGCUACUGCUCUUUCUCCCGCAUUAUAACGUAUGGAAAUCUCGGCUAGAGUAUGUGAUAAAAACAUCAACCAUCAUCCCUCUUCCAUUGCUAAGCAAUUCAUCGCUGUACUCAUUCAAUUGCAUUGCCGAUCGUCAAAGCUGCGAAAGUUUCAGCACGGAUAGUGUGGUACUUGUUAGAUCCAUAUCUUCCGUAUCCAACAUCGGUGAAUGUAUUGCUGAAAAAGCCAAACCAACAAGCUCAUCUCACCACAAUCGUCAGCAGAUGGCUCUAUCCCCGAAGUUAGCUGCUGCUGUUGUCGCUUAAAGCACGAAUGCAACGAAGAUAUCUGGGUAGAGUGCGAAGACAUUUUAUUUCACCGGUGCACAGGAGGGUAGCAACAUUUUGAACUACAUAUUGGAGAUAAGAAAAGUGGUACAUAAGAGUGCGAGAAGCGCAAUUUUCACAUAUUCUAUCAGCUACUGGCCGUGGCGGGGACCAAUCGCUGCAGAAGCUGUAUCUCAAGCGGAUAUUACGACGAAUAUUUUUGGUACUUGGUUGAUAUCUUUGGUGACGAAGCAAACGUUACGAAUGUCAUAGAAUGUAAAGAUAUAGAAUAUUUUGUAUUUAUCUGUUCUUUGUUAAUGAGUAGAAUAAA